AUGUGGCGAUCCUUCCUCGCCCGAUCUCAGCCCCUACUUUCCCAUAUCCGGCGCGGCCCUUCUGGACGCAGCGCCGCCGCCGGCGACACUCUGGUCACACAUCCACGUGCAUACGCCUCCAGCGCCGGUGAGGCCGACGCUGCGAACUCAUUGCGUACGUCGACGAAGAGGCGGCAUCUGUACGUGGUGCUGGACGAGAUGAAGACGGGGCACAGUAUCUACAGACUCGACGUGGACGACCUGGACGGCGGCGACGAGGACGCGGUCACCGGCAUGGACAGCCCACGGCGGGAGUGUGUGCCGCAGCAGACGCCGCCGCCGUGUCAGCUGCCCGAGCCGGUCCUCCGGCUGGGCUAUACAUUGGUCGGUUCAUGGGCACACUUCUCAGCCGUCGGCGGCAAGAUCAUCGUCACAGGGAGCACACGACGUGGUGAUUAUCAUGAGGAAAUCACCUUGGUCUACGACACCAAGACGGCGAGGCUGGACAUGGAGCAGCCUCCGCCUGCCAGUUUCACGCACCGGAGCUGCCACGUCGCUGCCGUCGGGAACAAGUUGUACAGGUUCGGCGGCGGCAGCGUCUGUCCGCCGCACUAUCUCAGCGAGCAGCAGGUGGUUGAGUUGCACGGCGGAUACGAGAGCCACAACGACGACAGGACCAUGCUACGCAUGAGAGGACAGAUCAUGGAGUGGACCUGGAAGGAUGCGCCAUCGCUCCCGGCCGGCGGCGGCGGCCACGUCCAGUCAUGCGCGGUGCAUCCGGACGGACGCACCUUAUUCGUCUCGCGCGGCCCCGCCACCUUCUCCCUGGACACCGAGCAGCAAUGGGCCGGCGAGUGGGCACGCCGAGGCGACUGGGCCAUGCCGUUCCAUGGUCGUGCUUACUACGAUGGUCACCUAGACGCGUGGGUUGGGAUCGGAUACCGAAACGACACCCAAGACUUGAACUACCUCUGCUCCUGCGAGGUCCCAAACCUCGCCGGCGAUCAACCACCCGAGCCAUUGCCGACGCCCGAGUGGAGGGUUUGCAAGGAGGAGCUCACGUUCCUCAAGGGCGCAUCAAGCUGUGCGCUCCUCCACACUGGGCGUGGCCGGUUUUGCCUCGUCGAGGCAAGACCGGUGGUGCCGCUCGCGGAAGCAGGGGCCAAGGAUAGUCAGUGCAACCGGUGCACCAUGUACAAUGGCAAUGACCACCUGCUCCAUGUCACCAUGUUUUGUGCUAAGCAUGGUAGGGACGGCGAGCUCGUGAUGGCACCAUGCCGACCCGGCCGCUCCUACCUUGUGCCCCGUUAUGCUGAGGAUGCUGACGGCGAAGAUGAUCCAGUUGAGAAUCCGCCUGCUGCAUUCUGGAUAUGA
rnacentral:rRNA from 1 species